GACUAAAAUCCGUCGACUUUAGAAAUCGUGAGGGUUCAAGUCCCUCUAUCCCCCUCAAAAAGGGCCCGUUUGA
rnacentral:tRNA from 1 species